GCAUAUCACUAAGCGGAGGAAAAGAAACUAACAAGGAUUCCCUUAGUAACUGCGAGUGAAGAGGGAAAAGCCCAGCACCGAAGGUAGUAUCCAUUUGGGUAUCUACCAAUGUGGUGUUAAGGUCAGCUCGCGUAGGUGCGGCUCCAUCUCAAGUCCAGCAAUGAGUACGGCUAUGGACUGAGCCCAGAGCGGGUGAAAGGCCCGUUGAGGUGGAGUUCAGAAAUGACCGCGCCUAUCGUGUUUGACCAUGGAGUCGGGUUGUUUGUGAAUGCAGCCCUAAGCGGGUGGUAAACUCCAUCCAAGGCUAAAUACUUACACGAGUCCGAUAGCGAACAAGUACCGUGAGGGAAAGUUGAAAAGUACUUUGAAGAGAGAGUAAACAGUGCGUGAAGCCGCAUAGAGGUUAAACGGGUAGAGUUAAACUGCGUGGGUCAUGGAUUCAGCCGAUGAAUGUGACUUGUGCUUGGACAAAUUGAUUCGUCUUCAGAGUCUGCUUAGCUGCAGGUCCCAUCCGGGAUUCACGAAGCACUUACCAAGUGUUGUGUGCUCUGUUGAUGAGAUGUCAGUUCGUCGGUGCACUUCCAUGACUCCUUGACCACGAUCGGUGUCAUUGGACUGUCCUCGUUGUCAAACUGUGGAUGUAGAAUUUUCUAUGUCUUCGGUGUGGUAGCACCCCUGUGUAUGCAGGUCGCAGUUGUCUUCGAGAUACAAGCUGAUGGACCGGGGCGACGGCCUUGGCGUGCUCUUAUACCCUCUGAUAGAUUGUGUUGGGUAUGGUUUUUGUGUGCUUGUGUAAGCAGGCCCAUUGACUACUCAGUGUUUUCUAUUAGUGUGGUGUCGGGGUGGCCAAUUUUGAGGGCCAAAGUCAGUGGUGUGUGGUAAACUUUCUACCCGA
rnacentral:rRNA from 1 species